rnacentral:tRNA from 1 species
GCGGACGUGGCGAAAUUGGUAGACGCACCAGAUUUAGGUUCCAGCGCCGAGAGGUGUGAGAGUUCGAGUCUCUCCGUCCGCACCA